rnacentral:rRNA from 1 species
GACGAACGCUGGCGGCGUGCUUAACACAUGCAAGUCGAACGAUGAAGCCGGAGCUUGCUCUGGUGAAUUAGUGGCGAACGGGUGAGUAACACGUGAGUAACCUGCCCUUGACUCUGGGAUAACUGCUAGAAAUGGUAGCUAAUACCGGAUACGACCCUCGGCGGCAUCGCCAGGGGGUGGAAAGAAUUUCGGUCAAGGAUGGACUCGCGGCCUAUCAGCUAGUUGGUGAGGUAACGGCGCACCAAGGCGACGACGGGUAGCCGGCCUGAGAGGGUGACCGGCCACACUGGGACUGAGACACGGCCCAGACUCCUACGGGAGGCAGCAGUGGGGAAUAUUGCACAAUGGGCGCAAGCCUGAUGCAGCAACGCCGCGUGAGGGAUGACGGCCUUCGGGUUGUAAACCUCUUUUAGUAGGGAAGAAGCGUUGUGUGUUAAUAGUACACAGCGUUGACGUUACCUACAGAAGAAGCACCGGCUAACUC